rnacentral:lncRNA from 1 species
GGGCCCCCGAGCUCCCCGCGGCGCUGCCGCGUCCUGCGGAGCGGAGCCCGGCCGGGGCGAGGGGCGACAAACCCCUGCGCCCCGCCGAGCCCACUCGUGGUGGGUGCCGCGAGGCAGCGGGAGCCCCAGCCUAGCGAGGGGCUUGUAGCAGGCACAGGCAAGGGGUGGAGGUGGUAGCUGUCUGAAGCAGCCAAGAUCUUCAGACGAUAUCGUUAGUUAUCAUCUUACCGUGCCAAAGUUUGCUGGACUCCGUGCAGCACAGAGCAAAAUGACAUAUUCCCUGCCCCAAGGAGUUUACAAUCUAAAGUGGAUCUGACAACACGAGGGUGUGACAGGACACCAUGAGUUUGCAGCAACAGGAUCAUGCUGUUGAGGACUUAACUUACUCCAGGACUACAGAUGAGAAAAAGCGACAGCUCUGCCAGAGGCUUCUUGGGAUGGCAGGAUGGAUCUGACAAUGCAAGGUGUGACAGAAUGCCACAAGGUUGCAGCAACAGAAUCCUGGGAUCCAGUGCCCAGACAAAGAGCAACUGUAAGUUUAUGGAGUUUUCUCCACUAAAGAAACAGAUGACAAAACAAGAUGUACUAACCAACCAACUAGAAGAUGGCUUUUUACAACUUGACUCUCCAGUUGAGUUUGGAAGCAUUCCCAAUGCAAAUAUGAUGGCCAGAGGCCAGAUGCACAGCUAAUCAAGAGAGGUGGGAAUCAGACUGUGGAAUGAAACAAGACAAAAAAAAAAAAGUAAAAUAUAUUGUGGAGUGAGUUCUUAAACACCAAAGGGUUUUUUUUUUUUAAUCACUGUGUUAAUUUCAGUGUUAUCAAAAUGCCUCAUUACAAUCUGGAUUUUUUUUAUAUAGAAAAUAAGAGGUUUAAUGAGACAUCCGGUUGUUAUAGUAGAAAACUGGAAAAACAAUGAACUCCAAAUGAAGCAUUCUGCUUUCAUUGAAUUAGCAUGUUUUGACAGAGAAAUGUUCAGUUAGAAAAUUCCCCAUCUUCUCUAAUAGCCACUGUACUGCUAAUCAUUUUCUCUUCCAUACUGUAAAAGCCAGAAGGCACAAUAUGGCUUCCUACUUAACAUGUCUCCUUUUUGCUGGAUCAGGCAACUUGGAAGUCUUUGCAUCAGUAAAUUAUAAACAAGCUACAAAAGCAGAACUUCUUUCAUUUCAUCUUAUCAAUUGAUUUCUACGUUAGCUGAGUAACUAUUGUGAGUCAAUCUGUCUGAACUUUUACAAGGUCAUCCAUUACAAAACUGUUACCCACGUCACUAACACAAUAGUAAAUUGAUGCAGAGGAAGAGGAGUUGCCUCAAGCGCUGGGCUUCCCCCAUGCAAUGAUUUUUGUAACAGUGAAUUGCCUGUGUAGGAGCAGCUAUCAAAAGGAAUUGCUUCCAGAAUGGUUUAGCUGUUCUACAACUAAUAUGUAUCUAUCCCUCUGCAGUUCUGGGUCAUUCCAGUAAAACCUGUUUAUAUAGGUAUAAACAGGUGAAACUCUGUUUAUAAAGGCAAGAGAACUCCCAUUAUCUGCAAGGCAUGAUGCAUUUAUCUUACCUCUGAAAUUAGUGGGAAUGGUGCAUAGAAAAUAUAUAAAAGCUCUGUUGCUUGGGAAAAAAAAAUAGUCAUGAAGAACAUAACUUGUUCAUUUGUAGGUAGAGCUCACAAAUGCAAAAAAAGAAACUAGCGCUGGAGAAUGGAGAUUGAGGGUCCAGUCCCCACCCGCUGAUGUCAUUGGCAAAUGUCCCAUUGAUGUUGGAGAGAGUACAGCCAGACACCAUCCAGCACACUUUGUAUCAUAUUUAACUUUUCCAACUGAAUGAGUAACAGUGAAUGGCUUGAGUCCCUGGUUUAGUCAGUUCUGAAGUAAUGUGCAAAAUUAGCCUGCUCCUCAUGCCUGUCCAUACGUAAUUAAAGAACAGCUACAUGAAAUUCAGUUUCAAUGAACAACUCUUUGGGGAUUGAAUCUACACAACCUACCUGGCUAAAUGGAUGAAUCUAGCUAUACAUCAUGACAGAAACCCUCGACUGCAGAUCUUUACAGAACUUCCUGCCAUUUAUAUCAGUGUGAGGUACAUACGUAUUACUGCGCUAAAGUACUUUGAAACUCUUUCAAAUCUUCCACUUGAACCAACAACUAAAGUUGCUCAUUGCCUGAAAGAGAACAGGGCCUUAAGUUUUCAAUUUUUAAAGAUACUGACCACAAGAAGACCUAGUUUGAAGUUUCUUUUUCAUAUUGUUUUCAUCUUCUCUGCUUGCCAUCUCUCACUUAAAUGAUAUUUUUGGCAAAUAACCAUUCACUCAAGAAACUUCCCAAAGCUGUUAAUAGAAAAUAUACUUACAACUAUCAGAGACCUCAAAUGCUUUGUUUUUCACCUUCCAUGAUAUUUCAAACUGAUCUUCAAUUAUAAAAUGAGACCAGCACCAAAAUAAAAUGUUUAUUAUGUUUCUAAGCCA